rnacentral:rRNA from 1 species
AGGAUGAACGCUGGCGGCGUGCCUAACACAUGCAAGUCGAACGUCCUGUCUCGCAAGAGGCAGGGAGUGGCGGACGGGUGAGUACCACGUGGGUCAUCUACCGUGAGGUGAGGAAUACCGGCGAGAAAUCGCCGACAAGACCGCAUAGGCUCGAUGCAAGUCGAGCAAAGCUCUUUCGAGAGAGGGAGCGCCACACGAGGAGCCUGCGCCCGAUUAGCUAGCUGGUGGAGUAACGGUUCACCAGGGCGACGAUCGGUAGCUGGUCUGAGAGGACGAUCAGCCACACUGGGAUUGAGAACGGCCCAGACUCCUACGGGGGCGAGCAGUGAGGAAUUUCGUCAAUGGGGCAACCCUGAACGAGCAACGCCGCGUGCAGGAGAAGGUUUCGGAUCGUAAACUGCUUUCUCGGGAAGAGAACGGACGGUACCGAGGAAUCAGCCCGGCUAACUACGUGCCAGCAGCCGC